rnacentral:rRNA from 1 species
AAUGAACGCUGGCGGCGCGCCUAAUACAUGCAAGUCGAGCGAGAAGACGUAGCAAUACGUUUGUAAAGCGGCGAACGGGUGAGGAAUACAUGGGUAACCUACCCUCGAGUGGGGAAUAACUAGCCGAAAGGUUAGCUAAUACCGCGUACGCUUCUUGGACUUCGGUUCAGGGAGGAAAGCGAUACCGUGGGUAUCGCGCUCUUGGAUGGGCUCAUGUCCUAUCAGCUUGUUGGUGAGGUAACGGCUCACCAAGGCUUCGACGGGUAGCUGGUCUGAGAGGACGAUCAGCCACACUGGCACUGCGACACGGGCCAGACUCCUACGGGAGGGCAGCAGUAAGGAAUAUUGCGCAAUGGGCGAAAGCCUGACGCAGCGACGCCGCGUGGGGGGAG